rnacentral:piRNA from 1 species
UCUCACAUCUGCUAUGCUGAGGUUUGCAAA